UAAACUCAUAAAUGCAUCCCAACCGCUCCCAAUAUACACUGUUACUAUCCCUACACUAGUAGUCUAGUACUACUUCUAGUAUAAGUAAAUCACCUUUCUUGGCUCAUUUUCCAAUCACCAAAAAAACAAAGCCAUUUUCAGUUGUUCAUCUCUCUUGUUUUUCCAAUCUCAUCACCAUUUGUGAAAUUAGCCAUGGCAGGUGAAGUAGCAAAGGAGGAAACUGUUGUCACAAAUGUGAAAAUCCUGAAGAAAAGUAACGUAAAACCACAUAAACCACUAGGCAAAAAAGAGUGCCAAUUGGUAACAUUUGAUCUUCCUUACUUAGCUUUCUAUUACAACCAAAAACUGCUGAUCUAUAAGGGUGCUGAAAACUUUGAGGAAACGGUGGAAAAACUGAAAGAUGGUCUUGCCUUAGUGUUGGAAGAUUUCUAUCAACUAGCUGGGAAACUGGGAAAAGAUGAAGAGGAGGUUUUCAAGGUGGAAUACGACGAUGACAUGGACGGCGCGGAGGUGAUAGCGGCCGCCGCAGAAGGGAUUGAAGUUGCAGAUCUUACGGAUGAAGAAGGCACCUCCAAAUUCCUGGAUUUAAUUCCUUGUAAUAAAAUCUUGAAUUUUGAAGGGCUUCACCGGCCUCUUCUGGCUGUGCAGGUAANCACGUGCCCGCCAGCUCAAGCCGGAGGACUACACAGUCUACACCGUCUUCGCCGAUUGCAGGAAAAGAGUCGACCCUCCGAUGCCGGAGAGUUACUUCGGAAACCUAAUUCAGGCGAUUUUCACGGUGACAGCAGCGGGUUUAUUGCUGGCACAGCCAAUUGAGUUCGCAGCGGGGAUGAUACAGCAAGCAAUUGUGAAACACGACGCUAAGGCGAUCGAUGAACGUAACAAAGAAUGGGAAAGUAACCCGAAGAUUUUUCAGUACAAAGAUGCAGGAGUGAAUUGCGUGGCAGUUGGAAGCUCGCCGAGGUUUAAGGUGUACGACGUGGAUUUUGGAUGGGGAAAGCCGGAGAGUGUGAGGAGUGGAUCGAAUAAUAGGUUUGAUGGGAUGGUGUAUUUGUAUCAAGGGAAAAAUGGAGGAAGAAGCAUUGAUGUGGAGAUUAGCUUGGAAGCAAAUGCAAUGGAGAGGUUGGAGAAGGAUAAAGAGUUUCUCAUGGAAGCUUAAUUAAUUUUCUCUGCUUGAAUCUAUCUCUAAGUUCUAUGAGUAAUUUGUAUGUUUCCUUUUUCUAUUUUCUUUCUAGUUUUUUCCUUUUGUUUUAUUUAGGGGGUGGGGCUGGUAGGGGUACCAGAGGGUUCUUCUUCUCCUUCUUUAUUUAUUGUUUUCUGAUUUUCUAUGUUUUUCGUUCUUUGUAUGUUAUGCAGAGACGAAAGUCAUGAGUUUAAAGGAAUAAAGUUUGUUAGUGAUUAAUUAA